AGGAUUAAAAGAUAAAUAGAAUACAAUAGAAAUUCAGUAUCUGGCAUCAUUAGUUUUCUUGGCUUUGUGCAUGUUAAACCUGGUAUUUCUAUUGAUACAGUA